GUGGGGAAUAUUGGACAAUGGGCGCAAGCCUGAUCCAGCAAUGCCGCGUGGGUGAAGAAGGCCUUCGGGUUGUAAAGCCCUUUUGUACGGGAAGAAAUCAUUCGGGUUAAUACCCUGGGUGGAUGACGGUACCGUAAGAAUAAGCACCGGCUAACUUCGUGCAAGCAGCCGCGGUGAUACGAAGGGUGCAAGCGUUAAUCGGAAUUACUGGGCGUAAAGCGCGCGUAGGUGGUUUUGUAAGUUGGUGGUGAAAUCCCCGGGCUCAACCUGGAAACUGCCUUUGUGACUGCAAGGAUAGAGUACGGCAGAGGGGGAUGGAAUUCCGCAUGUAGCAGUGAAAUGCUUAGAUAUGCGGAGGAACACCGAUGGCGAAGGCAAUCCCCUGGGCCUGUACUGACGCUCAUGCACGAAAGCGUGGGGAGCAAACAGGAUUAGAUACCCUAGUAGUCC
rnacentral:rRNA from 1 species